rnacentral:tmRNA from 1 species
GGGGUAGUAAAGGUUUCGACAGGGGUCUUGCAGCUGGAGAAGCGAGUCGCAUGCAAUGCGUCAAAUGGCAAAAUUAAAAUUAAACGCUGAAGAUAAUUUAGCAAUCGCUGCCUAAUGGCAGUAGUCCGACCUAGUGCACCUACACAUUAGGACCCGGGCUUCGACUAUGUAGGAAACGACAUGUGCAAAGCUUUGAGCCCAUGGGCGUAUCAUGAAGCUACUGAAGCGGUCAGGGUGUUAAUCCCCGGGGCGUAGAGGGAAUGUCAAAGGAUUAACUACACUCGUAGAAGUACAGGGAAUGGGCUUUUGGACACGGGUUCGACUCCCGUCUACUCCAUUU